ACCGAAACGCGCUGCGCUCUAACAAUGUCCAACGAAGAUCAUUGUAUUCCGACAUCAGAAGUGGAAUCUGCCCAUCUGCCUCAAGCAUUGGAUGGACCAUGGCGUACUAUGAUGGAGUUGCAGAACCAAAAUUUAAUUGAACUUGUGCGGGCCAUAAGAACAACGGUACCUGAUGUGGGGCAGAGCAAAUCAGUGCAACUGCCCAAAUUCAAUCCAGAUAAAGCAGGCGCCAACGCUUUAUCGUGGUGUAAUACGGCUGAAAUAAUCCUACAAGAAAACGUAUUGAAAGGCAGUGCGUUGGUUAUAGCCUUAAGUUCCGCAAUGCAGGGAAGCGCUUCGCAGUGGAUUUCGCAAGUGUGCUACGCUGAUAUUACUUGGCUUGAGUUUAAAGAUUUGUUUAUACAGCGCUUCGACACUAUAGAAACACCAGCUGCCAUGUUUCUUAAUAUGCUAUCAAAUCGACCGACUGAUAGCGAAAGUCUGGCAAUCCAUGCAAGCCGCAUGGUUACCGAACUAACGACGAAAUGGCGCCAAAUGAAAACUGAAGAGAUUGCUGUGUCUGUGACCCUUACGUUGUUGGCAAGCUUCGAUAGCCGAUUGCAGCGUUUAAGUUUCACAUCAAAUAUUCGAAGCAGAGGCGAUUUACAGUCUGAAUUAAAAGCGUUCACCUUCAAUAAAAGGAAAAGUGGUGUUAUGGAGCAAAAGUCCGAAAUUUAUUCUAAACGGCAAAAACAAUCAUCAAUAGAGUGUCAUUUUUGCGGAAAAUUGGGCCAUAAAAUGUUUGAAUGCAGAUUAAGAAAACAACAGAAUCACUUUGCGAGCGACAAAACACGACAUGGCAAACACGAUGGUCACCGAGAAAAAUCAAAUGUAACUUGCUACAAGUGCGGAGAAUUGGGUCACAUAUCUACCCAAUGUACAAAGAAGGAAGUUGAUAAGAACAAGGCAUUCAACCGGGAAAAGCGAGUGGAACAGUGCAGCGUUGCAGUACCUAAAGGAUGCUUGAACCACAGAGACCAAAUUUUUGAAAUCACCUUUGAUUCAGGAUCGGAAUGUUCGUUAAUGAAAGAAAAGCUAAGUAUAAAAUUUUCUGGUAAAAGAUUCAAUAACAUUGUUAUGCUAAAAGGUAUAGGCAGUAAUGGUAUAUGUAGUACUGUACAAAUAUUAAGUAACGUUAAGAUUGACGAUAAUUGUAUUGAGUUUUUAUUUUAUGUAAUAGGCGAUGAUGAUAUGCAAAAUGACAUUGUCAUUGGCCGUGAAAUACUUAAUCAGGGUUUUAAUGUUGCUAUUUCAUCAAUCCAAUUUAAAAUUUCAUGAACCAAAAAGGUUAAUUUAUAUACUGGAAGCGAGCCGACCGAUAUUGGUGCUGGGCUUGGGGGACGAGAUGGGGUAGAGCUACAUUCAUUGUUAGCAAAGUACUCAAAUUCAUUAUCUUGACAUGACGUUAUUGAAAAUGUGAUUGUGACCAGUGCCAAGUUUUGAAUAAAAUUGCGGUUCCAAGUUCUCCCAGUUCAAUAUUAAUUAUAGUCUCGAGCACGUAAAAAAAAAGGAGAACAAAAAUAUGCUAAUGCUAUAUGGUUGAAACUGGAGCACGGUCUUGGCGGGAUGUGUUGGAAAAGGUGCGGUUGGCAAUCAAUUGUACAAUCAGCCGUCCUUUAGAAAUGUUAUUGGGAAAGGCGGCACGUCCAUUAGGUUUACUUCCACCUGGUGACAUAGAAAAUGUUAGACACAAAGUUGGUGAUUUUGUGUUACUUAAAAGUGAAGGAAGACGUCAAACAAAGUUAAGUCUGAAAUUCAAGGGACUUGAAUUAGUAAAGGUUGCAGAAGGUGACAGGUACAUUUUGGAAUUCUUGACCAAUGGGAUGAGUUGUUGAUAUGCAGGCGAGGAUUUGAGAAGGUUGCCAGAGGCGCAAGUGCCCGAGGAAUCGAAUGUGUAUGAUGGUGAUGAUGAGGAUGUUGUUGCAGGUAGAGAAUCCGUUGCGAACGGUGAAGAGAGUGAAAAUGAAAAUAUUGAAAGUAUUGAGGGUGUUGAAGUUUGAAGAAAAUGAGAAUGAAGAUGUUGAGAAUGUUGAAAUCACGAAAGAGAGUGAAGUAAACGAAUAAGAAUGACAAAGUAUAUGAAUGGUUGGCCAAAGAAAAUGGCAGAAUACUCAGAUCAUAAUGCAAGCACAAGUGCAAAACAGACUAAUGGUUGUUUUGAUCAUGGCGUGUGGCGCAUUUGAUUGAGUAAUGAAUUGAUUAUGUGACAGUAAUGUAAAAGUUGAAGGAAACUGUUGAAAGAGACAGUAAUAAAGGAAGUUGAAAGAGACACUGUUGAAAGAGACAGUAAUAAAGAAGUUGAAAGAGACACUGUUGAAAGAGACAGUAAUAAAGAAAGUUGAAAGAGACACUGUUGAAAGAGACAGUAAUAAAGGAAGUUGAAAGUUCAAAGAGACAUUAUAGUUGCUUAAGGGCUUAUAAUGAUGUUUGUAAUAAUAAUGUGGGCACAAGUGCAAAACAAUUGUUUUGAUCAUGGUGUGUGGCGCAUUGGAUAUUAUAAUUUAAAACCUAUGUGGUUAAUGAUAAUGUGAAAAUGAGCUGUGUUAAAGAAAAAGAUUUUGUAUUAGUAAGAAGGAAACAGAAAUAUGAAGAUGUAAUUUGUCAAUCGAAAUUAUAAGAUGAAAAAUUUAAAGUUAGAUUUGAAUAAACUUUUAUAAGUUGAUUGAAAGGUAACAUAGCAUUUUUGGUAAAAUUGCACGAGGUCGUGUAAUUGUCAGGAUGGCCGUGUCGGCGCACCCUAAUAGUGUGUGGAUAUUGGUAUGCGUGUGUGAGUGUAUGUGUAUACAGUUUAGGGAAUUUCUUUAGAAGUCUAAGUUCCUCAUUAUUCGAUCAGCCGUUAGUUGUGCUGUGAUUGGUUGUCUUUUCAAGAAGUACCGCUUUAGCGGGGCGACAGCGUGGCGUCGCCACCGUCGAGUGUGGUUUGCUGCAUGUCGUCUCUUCAAGGAGUACCGUUAUAGCGGGACGACAGCGUGGCGUCGCUAUCGUCGAGCGUGGUUCGGUGGUAGGUUUAAAAGGAAGAAAACGACGUACAUAGAGACAGUCGAGUUGAGGACUUGAUCUAGUGAAGUUGUGUUAAAAAGUUAAUAGUGAAGUCGUGUUAAAAAGUUAAUAGUGAGAAGUGAGGAAUAUUGUGAAGUGAGGAACUAUUGUGAACGUUACAAAUGUGGAAUAUAUCUCACAUUAUAAUCAGCACAAUUUUACCUGUGAGGGCUGGAAGCGGGCUCCCGAGGCGGCAGCGGGUAAUUGCACACGUUACGGCCGUAAUGGAGCUCUGCGCUGUUAUGGCGG